GGAAUAUUGGACAAUGGGCGAAAGCCUGAUCCAGCCAUGCCGCGUGAGUGAUGAAGGCCCUAGGGUUGUAAAGCUCUUUCAGCGGGGAAGAUAAUGACGGUACCCGCAGAAUAAGCCCCGGCUAACUUCGUGCCAGCAGCCGCGGUAAUACGAAGGGGGCUAGCGUUGCUCGGAAUCACUGGGCGUAAAGCGCACGUAGGCGGAUCGUUAAGUCGGGGGUGAAAGCCCGGAGCUCAACUCCGGAACUGCCUUCGAUACUGGCGAUCUUGAGUCCGGGAGAGGUGAGUGGAACUGCGAGUGUAGAGGUGUAAUUCGUAGAUAUUCGCAAGAACACCAGUGGCGAAGGCGGCUCACUGGCCCGGAACUGACGCUGAGGUGCGAAAGCGUGGGGAGCAAA
rnacentral:rRNA from 1 species